AGUGAACGCUGGCGGCGUGCUUAACACAUGCAAGUCGAACGAGAACGGAAUAUAGCUUGCUAUAUUUGUCAGCUAAGUGGCGCACGGGUGAGUAAUGUAUAGAUAACCUGCCCUUAAGAAAGGAAUAACAGUUGGAAACGACUGCUAAUGCCCUAUAUGCCUUUAAUACAUAAGUAUGCAAGGGAAACGCUUUAGUGCUUAAGGAUGGGUCUGUAUGGUAUCAGCUUGUUGGUGAGGUAAUGGCUCACCAAGGCUAUGACGGCUAACUGGUUUGGGAAGAUGAUCAGUCACACUGGAACAGAGACACGGUCCAGACUCCUACGGGAGGCAGCAGUGGGGAAUAUUGCACAAUGGACGAAAGUCUGAUGCAGCAACGCCGCGUGGAGGAUGACACAUUUCGGUGCGUAAACUCCUUUUAUAGAGGAAGAUAAUGACGGUACUAUAUGAAUAAGCACCGGCUAACUCCGUGCCAGCCGCCGCCGUAA
rnacentral:rRNA from 1 species